rnacentral:rRNA from 1 species
AAUGAACGCUGGCGGCAUGCCUAACACAUGCAAGUCGAACGGCAGCACAGUAAGAGCUUGCUCUUACGGGUGGCGAGUGGCGGACGGGUGAGGAAUACAUCGGAAUCUACUUUUUCGUGGGGGAUAACGUAGGGAAACUUACGCUAAUACCGCAUAUGACCUACGGGUGAAAGCAGGGGUUCUUCGGACCUUGCGCGAUUGAAUGAGCCGAUGUCGGAUUAGCUAGUUGGCGGGGUAAAGGCCCACCAAGGCGACGAUCCGUAGCUGGUCUGAGAGGAUGAUCAGCCACACUGGAACUGAGACACGGUCCAGACUCCUACGGGAGGCAGCAGUGGGGAAUAUUGGGCAAUGGGCGCAAGCCUGAUCCAGCAAUACCGCGUGAGUGAAGAAGGCCUUCGGGUUGUAAAGCCCUUUUGUUGGGAAAGAAAAGCAGCAGGUUAAUACCCCGCUGUUCUGACGGUACCCAAAGAAUAAGCACCGGCUAACUUCGUG